rnacentral:lncRNA from 1 species
CUGUCAGUGUUGCCUCUCUUAAUCCUAAAACAUUUCAUCAUGGAAGUACUGUGGAAGUACAUGGGUAUAUAAUCUUGGAAUUACUGAACUUUGUUUUGCUUCAAACUAAACUUGAUCC